GUAAAAGACCAGGCGGUUUGAAAUUACUGGAAUUCAAGGUGUUCUUGGCUCCCACUAACAGUGGUGGAAGAAGUCAGUCAUCACUCAGCAGUGGAAAGUGCAUGAUCAGCCUUUGAACCCCCAGGCGCGGUUACUAGGAGGUCUCUCUAUUCAAGUAUAUACUUCACGUCUCAUCGAGUCUAUGCUUGCUUAUGGUCCCGCCUCUCUUUCUACGCUGCCCUGGAAAUCUAAGGUUACUGAGCUGGAGCAGUUUGGAGGCAGAAUGAUUGGUGAUCUGGAAAGUAACUCUCAGUGAUCUCUGUGAUUCAUAUGUCAACAAAAAGCUCGGAGCAGAAUGUUGGAGGUUUGCUUAAGGCCUUUUAGGGGAGUUAAUACAUUAAUGAUCUAAGGGACACAACUGAGCAUUCUAAAGGCUACAUUCUAAAUGGCUAACUGCAGCAACGGACUUUUCCCCAUUUAUAUUUUGUUUUUGGACUUCAAUUUCACUUCAUACUAGCAAGCAGUAAAACUAACUGGCUUCAUGAGUAACCUGACACCACGUGAGAAUCAGAUGAUCCCAUCUGGCUUGGUAGAUAUAGAAUUAGAAACUUUGCUAGAAAAUUCUGCCAUCUUUCUGUCACCGACACAAGAAUUUUGACCCAAUAUCCUCAUUUUCAUGUGCAUAUACACAUGUGCUCAGUAAGCAGAUACUUACCAUUGGUGAACAUAUCACAAAACGUUUCUCUGUAGCAUAAAGGAGAUGAAAUAAAUUUCAGUCAGAUAAUUCUGACUCUUAGAUUAUUAGCUAUGUGUUCUGAUAAAAAAAUAUUCAACCUAUUUGAGACUCAGUUUGUUUGAACUGCAAAAUAAAAUGGGAAUUUUUUUUUGUUUUCUCCAAAUUGAACUUCAACUUGGGUUACUAUAUUAAAAGCCAGUAUUUGCAUGGCCAUCAUCAAGUAAGUUUCAGCUACCUUGACGAGGAAAUAUGGAGCAGUCCAGAGACUACAUGGAGAGGGAGAAGGCCCAGUACAUCUCAGCCUUUCAGAUAUCUCCACUGAGGUACCAUGCAAUUGGACUGAGGUUACCCUAAACCCUUCAUACAAGUCCAGCCACCUGAUAAAUACCAAGAGUGACCCCAGGCGACAUCACAAGGAACAGAAAAAUUAUCCAGAGUUACCCUGCUUGAAUUCCUGAUGACAGAGUCAUCAGAUAUAAUAAGACAGCUAUUGUUUUGAGUCAGUCAGCUCUGGGGUAGUUAAGAACAAUUUGCACACGGCAGGCACUCAAGACUCAGGGUGACUGGCACCGAGGGGUUUCCUGGGGGGCAAGACUUCCAGUGUUCGAAACAGGAAAGUCACUCUUAAUACACACUGGAAGUCAUUGUUAUUUUAUACUAAAGCAGAAAUGAACAAUGAGGUGUUGACUUCAUUUCUAGCAAAACUACCCUAAAGCCAUCAAAGAA